AGAAGAUGCUUACUACUAGGUUGGUGCAAAAGUAAUUGUGGUUUUUGCAUUUAAAGUAACGGCCAAAACCACGAUUACUCUAGCACGAACCUAACGGUAACACUUCU
ensembl:miRNA MIR548AY microRNA 548ay